rnacentral:rRNA from 1 species
UACGGAGGAUGCAAGCGUUAUCCGGAAUUACUGGGCGUAAAGCGUACGUAGGCGGCGCGUUAAGUGCAAUGCGAAAUCUUGCGGCUCAACCGCACAGACUGUGUUGCAUACUGGCGUGCUUGAGGAUGGCAGAGGCAAGUGGAAUUAGUAGUGUAGCAGUGAAAUGCGUAGAUAUUACUAGGAACACCAAUGGCGAAGGCAGCUUGCUGGGCCAUUUCUGACGCUGAGGUACGAAAGCGUGGGGAGCGAACAGG